AUGUUUGAGAGUUUGAUCCUGGCUCAGAACGAACGCUGGCGGCGUGCCUAACACAUGCAAGUCGAACGGAAUUAGCUGAUAGCACAAAGAGUUCAUAGUUCAUGGCUCAUAGCAAAACAGAGAAAAGGAUUUAGCUAUGAGCUAUCAGCUAAGAGCUAUGAGCUUUAUGAGCUGUCAGUUAAUUUAGUGGCGGACGGGUGAGUAACACGUAGGAAACCUACCCUUGGGCGGGGGACAACUCCGGGAAACCGGAGCUAAUACCGCAUAAGACCACAGACUGAGAUGUCAGUGGGAAAAGUAGCAAUACACCUGGGGAUGGGCCUGCGGCCUAUCAGGUAGUUGGCGGGGUAAUGGCCCACCAAGCCUAAGACGGGUAGCCGGACUGAGAGGUUGGACGGCCACACUGGAACUGAGAUACGGUCCAGACUCCUACGGGAGGCAGCAGUGGGGAAUCUUGCGCAAUGGGGGAAACCCUGACGCAGCGACGCCGCGUGGAGGAUGAAGGCUUUCGGGUUGUAAACUCCUUUUGUAGGGGAAAAUAAUGAUGGUACCCUGCGAAUAAGCCACGGCUAACUCUGUGCCAGCAGCCGCGGUAAGACAGAGGUGGCGAGCGUUGUUCGGAAUUACUGGGCUUAAAGGGCGAGUAGGCGGCGGGACAAGUCUGGUGUGGAAUCUUAGGGCUUAACCCUAAAACUGCAG
rnacentral:rRNA from 1 species